ACAGCACUCUGCAAACACGAAAGUGGACGUAUAGGGUGUGACGCCUGCCCGGUGCUGGAAGGUUAAUUGAAGAUGUGAGAGCAUCGGAUCGAAGCCCCAGUAAACGGCGGCCGUAACUAUAACGGUCCUAAGGUAGCGAAAUUCCUUGUCGGGUAAGUUCCGACCUGCACGAAUGGCAUAAUGAUGGCCAGGCUGUCUCCACCCGAGACUCAGUGAAAUUGAAAUCGCCGUGAAGAUGCGGUGUACCCGCGGCUAGACGGAAAGACCCCGUGAACCUUUACUAUAGCUUGACACUGAACAUUGAAUUUUGAUGUGUAGGAUAGGUGGGAGACUUUGAAGUAGUCACGCCAGUGAUUAUGGAGUCGUCCUUGAAAUACCACCCUUUAACGUUUGAUGUUCUAACGAAGAUUGCGAAACGCGGUCUCGGACAGUGUCUGGUGGGUAGUUUGACUGGGGCGGUCUCCUCCCAAAGAGUAACGGAGGAGCACGAAGGUUUGCUAAUGACGGUCGGACAUCGUCAGGUUAGUGCAAUGGUAUAAGCAAGCUUAACUGCGAGACAGACAAGUCGAGCAGGUACGAAAGUAGGUCAUAGUGAUCCGGUGGUUCUGAAUGGAAGGGCCAUCGCUCAACGGAUAAAAGGUACUCCGGGGAUAACAGGCUGAUACCGCCCAAGAGUUCAUAUCGACGGCGGUGUUUGGCACCUCGAUGUCGGCUCAUCACAUCCUGGGGCUGAAGUAGGUCCCAAGGGUAUGGCUGUUCGCCAUUUAAAGUGGUACGCGAGCUGGGUUUAGAACGUCGUGAGACAGUUCGGUCCCUAUCUGCCGUGGGCGUUGGAGAAUUGAAAGGGGCUGCUCCUAGUACGAGAGGACCGGAGUGGACGCACCACUGGUGUUCCGGUUGUGUCGCCAGACGCAUUGCCGGGUAGCUAAGUGCGGAAGAGAUAAGUGCUGAAAGCAUCUAAGCACGAAACUUGCC
rnacentral:rRNA from 1 species